rnacentral:rRNA from 1 species
GACAGAGGCCUCGAGCGUUAGGCGGAAUCACUGGGCUUAAAGCGUGUGUAGGCGGGCCCGUAAGUGUCUUGUGAAAUCCCACGGCUCAACCGUGGAACUGCUGGGCAUACUGCGGGUCUUGGGCCAACUAGGGGCAGCCGGAACAAGCGGUGGAGCGGUGAAAUGCGUAGAUAUCGCUUGGAACGCCGAAGGUGAAAACAGGCUGCUGGGGUUGCGCCGACGCUGAGACACGAAAGCCGGGGGAGCAAACGGG